UGCAGUCGAGCGGAUGAGUGGAGCUUGCUCCAUGAUUCAGCGGCGGACGGGUGAGUAAUGCCUAGGAAUCUGCCUGGUAGUGGGGGAUAACGUUUCGAAAGGAACGCUAAUACCGCAUACGUCCUACGGGAGAAAGUGGGGGAUCUUCGGACCUCACGCUAUCAGAUGAGCCUAGGUCGGAUUAGCUAGUUGGUGGGGUAAUGGCCCACCAAGGCGACGAUCCGUAACUGGUCUGAGAGGAUGAUCAGUCACACUGGAACUGAGACACGGUCCAGACUCCUACGGGAGGCAGCAGUGGGGAAUAUUGGACAAUGGGCGAAAGCCUGAUCCAGCCAUGCCGCGUGUGUGAAGAAGGUCUUCGGAUUGUAAAGCACUUUAAGUUGGGAGGAAGGGCAGUAAGUUAAUACCUUGCUGUUUUGACGUUACCAACAGAAUAAGCACCGGCUAACUUCGUGCCAGC
rnacentral:rRNA from 1 species